rnacentral:lncRNA from 1 species
CUCGCAUCCACGCGGGAGGUGCGGGACGCCGACGCGGCGGGGCGAGAAGAGCCGGUGUUUUCAUCCUCCUUGCUCAUAGGGCGGCGGGGCCUUGCAGCGGCGCGGGCAAACGGAGAGGCCGCGGGAGGCGGCGAGCCGGCAGAAGGCGAGGGAGAGCGGAGGGCGGCCAUGGUCCAGCCCUGAAGUGCCCUGCAUUGCAGGAGAAGCCCUGGUCAUCAUGCCAGUUGAUGGAUGCUGGCUGUGCUUCCCGACUUCCCGAGGCAGGAAAAAAAUACACGACCUGGGCUGG